rnacentral:ncRNA from 2 species
CGACGCCUAGCGGGAGAGACCGGCCCUCAAGGCCGGCGCCGAAGGAGCAACCGCCCCGGAAACUCUCAGGCAAAAGGACCGCCUGGCGUCA